rnacentral:rRNA from 1 species
GUGUCAGCAGCCGCGGUAAUACGUAGGGACCGAGCGUUGUCCGGAAUCAUUGGGCGUAAAGAGCGUGUAGGCGGCCGAUCAAGUUCCGCGUGAAAUCUCACGGCUCAACCGUGAGCAGCCGUGGAAAACUGGUCGGCUAGAGUGCGGGAGAGGAGAGUGGAAUUCCUGGUGUAGCGGUGAAAUGCGCAGAUAUCAGGAAGAACACCCGUGGCGAAGGCGGCUCUCUGGAACGCAACUGACGCUGAGACGCGAAAGCGUGGGGAGCAAACAGGAUUAGAUACCCUGGUAGUCC